UGGGAGAUCUGCUUCUACAUUUUUGGGGAGCUCUAGGCUUUUGGCUUUUCCUGGCUUCUCUAUCAGGGAGAAGUACACCUCUGUUUCUCUGUGCCAGGUGUAAAGUUGUUCAGCCAGCACCCUGAGCCUCUGAGGCUGCUUGCAGUAUAUGGUAAGGGACCAAAGGUAUUCCCUCUGGAAACAGAUUUCUCAGUAUUGCUAGGUUUUGAGCACUGAGAAAUCCUUGCUGAAGAAGGGGCCAGAAUGAUGAAAAAUCACUUCUGAACUGGUCAUGCCCAAGCAACGUGGACAAGCUACAGUGUGUUUCAUCAGCACAAGCAAGCAAGGGCUUUGAAGGCUAAAGAAAAGAGUAAACCUAGGAAGAAACAGAAACACUCCUUUGUGAACCCCUCACUUCUGCAAUAGCCUGCAUGAAAGGCAGGAAAGCAGGGAAAUAAAGGGAAAAAUUUCCUGCAGGAAGUUGGCAUGUCAUCUUUAGCGGUGCUCCCCACUUCCCUUCCUGGAGCUUGUUUCUUCUGACAGCAAUACCGGAUGGCUUAGCGACUCUGCAAAUGGCAUGCAGUAAUGUAUCAUACUUAAUAAAUGAUUAAUUUGGCUAUGUCAGAAGAUGUAACUCUGCCCUCAGACUCAGAACUAGUGGUGCCAACAAAAGUGCAGAACACGCCCUUCCACAGCCCCAGGCAGAUUUGGGAGAGCCACUCCCAUUCUAGUUCAGACCCUAUUUAUCCCAGACUGCCUCCUCAUUGCUUUGCAAGGCUGUCACAGUCACUGGGACAAGUUUAGGAUUUAGAAUUCUAAAGUUAUUGAGCUCAUCUGUGAUAUGUCAAAAGCCUGCUCAUUUCUUACUUUGUUGUUCUUCUGAAUUAUGGAUGAAGGUCGUCAGUCAUUCCUCAAAAGAUGUCAGAAUGUAAGUCAGAAUUCCACAUAGCAUUAGGAACACUUGAAUCAAUUAGUAACAUUGAAUAAAGACAAAAAAAAAUAAUUUGGCUAAACUGUGCCUGAACCGUAAGUCUGUACUUUGGGUAUAGCAUACCUGGAACAGCCCUGACUUACACAGGGUCUCAGAGACACCUCUACGAGUUUUAGACCUCUCCUUUCUACAGGUUUUCUUGUAAGUCUUGAAUGACAUUUAUUGGCUUGAAUCUUAGAGAAAAAUGCAGACUUGGGAAUCAUGGCUUUUAUUUCAUAAGAAAACUCAUCUUCUGAAACACCUAGUCCUUGCAAUUACAGACAGUGUGUGACUUGGGGCAGCCUAACACUAGUAGAAAAAGCGAGGACUAUUUAUCUACUUCAUUCCCCUACACACAUCAAAAGUUAUAAUACUUUGGA